rnacentral:misc_RNA from 1 species
UUGCCACACACUUUGUUGUGUGUGGUACUAAUCGCUGGGUUCGGGUCYGUCUCAGUUUAUUUAAUUAGACUGACUAUGGGACUGGGCUCGGUCAGAGUAUCAUGGGGUAGUGCCCUCGAUGCACGACUUGUAAAAUUGUACGGCAUUGGGUGUUUGCAUUAUACUUAUGGGCGCAUUUGCGAAAAUCAUUAUUAG